UACGACUACAUAUCAGGCAUAUCAAUAAGCGGAGGAAAAGAAACUAACAAGGAUUCCCCUAGUAACGGCGAGUGAAGCGGGAAGAGCUCAAAUUUGAAAUCUUCAAGGUUCUACCUUGACGAAUUGUAGUUUAAAGAAGUGUUUUCGGUUAGAGGAGUAGUAAAAGUUCUUUGGAAUAGGACAUCAUAGAGGGUGAGAAUCCCGUAUUUGACUAUUCUUUCUAGCUUUGUGAUACACUUUCAAAGAGUCGGACUUGUUUGGGAAUGCAGUCCAAAAUGGGUGGUAAAUUUCAUCUAAAGCUAAAUAUUGGCGAGAGACCGAUAGCGAACAAGUACCGUGAGGGAAAGAUGAAAAGAACUUUGAAAAGAGAGUUAAACAGUACGUGAAAUUGUCAAAAGGGAAGCGUUUGACACCAGUGUUGUUUCUACGAAAAUCAAUUUAUGAUGGCUUGAUGCUAAGCUUUAAGACUUUAUCCGCUUGUUGUUUAGUUUUCUUGUCUUUGUGAAUGCACUUUUCGUGGAACAAGUCAACAUCAAUUUCUUUUGCUGUAAAAGGGUAAGAGGAAGGUGGCUUCGGCUUCGGUUGAAGUGUUUAUAGCCUUUUAUCUCUGCAGUCGGAGAGAUUGAGGUCUGCAGCGUAGACUCUUCGGGGUUAGAUACGUCGGUGCUAAGCUAUAGCUUUUCAUAGACAACUUGUUGACUAUGUUUAGUCAUGUGGCUUACCCGCUGGCGCUAUUUUACCUACGCUUAGGAUGUUGACACACGCGCGUGCUCG
rnacentral:rRNA from 1 species